AUGGAGAAGGAGGUACCUGCUAGCCAGAGGGAACACGGGACAGAGGCCAAAGUGGCCUGGAGGCUGCUGGGCGCAGCCUGCCCCUCUGCCCCUCUGCUGCGGGAGCUCCUGGACCACACUGGCAGCAGUCAGACAGGGCCGAGAGCUGAGAGAAAAUUUUCGCUCUUCCAGGGACAUUGUCUGCAGGCACUCAGAGUGGUCCAGCGUUUGACAUACCGACGUAGGCUUUCCUACAAUACAGCCUCUAACAAAACUAGGCUGUCCCGAACCCCUGGUAAUAGAAUUGUUUACCUUUAUACUAAGAAGGUUGGGAAAGCACCAAAAUCUGCAUGUGGUGUGUGCCCAGGCAGACUUCGAGGGAUUCGUGCUAUAAGACCUAAAGUUCUUAUGAGAUUGUCCAAAACAAAGAAACAUGUCAGCAGGGCCUAUGGUGGUUCCAUGUGUGCUAAAUGUGUUUGUGACAGGAUCAGGCGUGCUUUCCCUAUCGAGGAGCAGAAAAUCGUUGAGAAAGUGUUGAAGGCACAAGCACAGAGUCAGAAAGCUAAAUUAAAAAAAUGAAACUUUUUUAAGUAAUAAAAAUGAAAAGACGUAAAAA